rnacentral:rRNA from 1 species
UUAAUGAGAGUUUGAUCCUGGCUCAGGACGAACGCUGGCGGCGUGCCUAAUACAUGCAAGUAGAACGCUGAGGACUGGUGCUUGCACCGGUCCAAGGAGUUGCGAACGGGUGAGUAACGCGUAGGUAACCUACCUCAUAGCGGGGGAUAACUAUUGGAAACGAUAGCUAAUACCGCAUAAAAGUGUUUAACCCAUGUUAAACAUUUAAAAGGUGCAACUGCAUCACUAUGAGAUGGACCUGCGUUGUAUUAGCUAGUUGGUGAGGUAACGGCUCACCAAGGCGACGAUACAUAGCCGACCUGAGAGGGUGAUCGGCCACACUGGGACUGAGACACGGCCCAGACUCCUACGGGAGGCAGCAGUAGGGAAUCUUCGGCAAUGGACGGAAGUCUGACCGAGCAACGCCGCGUGAGUGAAGAAGGUUUUCGGAUCGUAAAGCUCUGUUGUUAGAGAAGAAUGAUGGUGGGAGUGGAAAAUCCACCAUGU